AGUGAACGCUGGCGGUAGGCCUAACACAUGCAAGUCGAACGGCAGCACAGUAAGAGCUUGCUCUUACGGGUGGCGAGUGGCGGACGGGUGAGGAAUACAUCGGAAUCUAUUUUUUCGUGGGGGAUAACGUAGGGAAACUUACGCUAAUACCGCAUACGACCUACGGGUGAAAGCAGGGGAUCUUCGGACCUUGCGCGAUUGAAUGAGCCGAUGUCGGAUUAGCUAGUUGGCGGGGUAAAGGCCCACCAAGGCGACGAUCCGUAGCUGGUCUGAGAGGAUGAUCAGCCACACUGGAACUGAGACACGGUCCAGACUCCUACGGGAGGCAGCAGUGGGGAAUAUUGGGCAAUGGGCGCAAGCCUGAUCCAGCCAUACCGCGUGGGUGAAGAAGGCCUUCGGGUUGUAAAGCCCUUUUGUUGGGAAAGAAAAGCAGCAGGUUAAUACCCCGCUGUUCUGACGGUACCCAAAGAAUAAGCACCGGCUAACUUCGUG
rnacentral:rRNA from 1 species